ensembl:misc_RNA 7SK 7SK RNA
GGAUGUGAGGGCGAUCUGGCUGUUACAUCUGUCAACCCACUGAUCUCCAGGGUUAGGCUGGCUAGGCAGGUGUCCCCGUCCUCCCUCACCGCUCCACGAGCUUGCCUGCUGAAGCUGUGACCUUGAUCUUAGAGGAUGACCAUCCCUGUUAGAGGAGAACUGUCCUUGGUCAAGUGUAUGCGAGCAGCUGCACUCCCCUCCUAGAACCUUUAGACCCUGACACUGAAUUUAUUGUAUUUAAUGUACGAAAAGUUAUGGUGAAGAAUCGUAGAAGAUACCAGAAAUCUGCGAAAUGCUGGUGAUGUCUGUAAUGCAGCUAUGU